GCUCAACUUCAGUUACUUGUACCUGCUCUAUGUAAUAUCUUCUUAUGGUUCACUGAAGUCCUAAAUUAUUGGGUUUUUUCCUUUUUUAUUUUUUUCUUAUAUAUAUUCACUUUUCAAUGAGAUUGAGAGUAGAUUUUUAUUGCAGGGUUUGGAAGAACUGUGGAAUAUGAUCCAUGAAGAACCCUCAAACAGAAAAAAGUGGAUUAGGGCAGUGGACGAAUCCCUGAAGGAGAUUGAAAGGAGUCGAGCUGUUAAAAUAGCAGAUGUACUGUCCAAGUAGACCUUGAAACUGGAAGAAAUUUCUUUCUUCUUGGCAGCUGAUGUUCACCAGCUCAUUAACAAUAAGGCCAUGAAUAUAAACAGAGUACUGCUGGGUAAUGAGAGGGCAACUGCCAAGCUGCUCUUUAAUGUAAUGAAAUCAGAGCUUGAGAAAGACAAAUUGCAUCAACUGAAAUGGCAAGAGAGAGUCAAGGUCUGGAAGCUCAUCCAAAAGAACUGCAUAGUUCAGAGUUUCAGGUCAGAAAUUUUGCAGUCUUAUUUUGGACAAUGAAUAACGCAAAGUGACUAGUUUCUAUAAAAGUAAUACUUUAUCAUUUUUUCUUUAUACAUAUCACAUAUGAUAUCACAUAUAUCAUGUUUCCAUUAUACAGAUCUUUUUUCCAUCCUGCAGAGAA
rnacentral:lncRNA from 1 species